CCUAGUUCAUGGUCUACAUCAGAGGUGUUGCUUUGGGACAGAAGGACACCUGUUUCUCAACUUGUUGAAAGGUAUGAAAGCUGUGUGGACCUCACAGAUGUCGACAGGGAAGAGGCCUGGUCUAAGUCAUCUGGCCUGAGAAGAUCAAACCAUGAAGAGAGUAAAGUGGAAAAUAUCUGGAGAAGAUAUGAGUCCCUCAGUGGGACAAGUAAC